GGUGGUGUUGGGUGGUGGUGGUGCCAGCAACAGGGAAGGAAGAGUAAAUUUGCAAGAAUGCAUCGUUUACAAGAGUAGUUUAUAUAUACAAUACAGACACAUAAAAAAAAAAAAAAAACAUUUACAUAUACUAUACAAAUACAAAAAGAAAAAAAGUACAGUACUGGAGUCAAUUCAUUCAAUUAAACAGAAAAAAAAUUCAAGGCAGUGCUCCAGCGUGGCCACAGUCUUAUGACUGAAACAGGUAAAAUAUAUUAUACAUACACCAUACAUAUACAAAACAUCUAUAGCCACAGUACAUAUUUAGCACAUCUACACACUUGUUAUGUCUUUAAAAUUAGCAUAUCAAUAUACAUGUUAUACCCAUAGAAUUAGCACAUUUAUACACUCACCAUACAUAAACACAUCUCUUCACAGUACACCACAUAUACAACUUACCUAUAUACUGUACAUGAAACAUAUAUAUACACACUGUUACAUCACAUCUUUACUCUACACACACAUUACAUUGUUAUAUUGUACAUAUAUAUCAUAUAUCAUUCAUAUACCCCAAAUCUAUAUAUUGCACAUCUACAUCCUUAUACUGUAUAUAUAUAUAUAUACAUAUACCAUAACUAUACACCAUAACUAUACACAUAUAUGCCACAUUUAUAUGCUGUACAUAUAUAUCAUAUAUAUAUAUGAUGUAUAUAUAUUUCUUUAUUGCCCACAAGGGACUAAACAUAGAGAGGAAAAACAAGGACAGACAAAGGGAUUAAGUCGAUUAUAUCAACCCCAGUGCAUAACUGGUACUUUAUUUAUCGACCCCGAAAGGAUGAAAGGCAAAUUGACCUCAGCGGAAUUUGAACUCAAAACUUAACCACAGAUGAAAUACCGCUAAGCAUUUCACCCAGCGCAUUUCACCCUAAGCAUUUCACGUUUCUGCCAGCUCGCCGCCUAUAUGCUGUGUAUAUACAUCACAUCUAUAUAUUAUAUUCCCCAUAUCUAUACAUUGUACAUAAACAUCACAUCUAUAUAUACAGUACAUAUAGACGCAGGAGUGGCUGUGUGGUAAGUAGCUUGCUUACCAACCACAUAGUUCCGGGUUCAGUCCCACUGCGUGGAACCUUGAGCAAGUGUCUUCUACUAUAGCCUCGGGCCGACCAAAGCCUUGUGAGUGGAUUUGGUAGAUGAAAACUGAAAGACUGUCGUAUAUAUGUAUAUAUAUAUAUAUAUAUAUAUAUAUAUAUAUAUAUAUAUGUGUGUGUGUGUGUGUGUCUGUGUGUGUUCCCCCCAACAUCGCUUGACAACCGAUGCUGGAGUGUUUAUGUCCCCGUAACUUAGCGGUUCGGCAAAGGAGACCGAUAGAAUAAGUACUAGGCUUACAAAGAAUAAGUCCCGGGGUCGAUUUGCUUGACUGAAGGCGGUGCUCCAGCAUGGCCGCAGUCAAAUGACUGAAACAAAUAAAAGCGUAAAAGCGUAUAUGCCACAUCUAUAAACUAUAUAUAUAUAUGUCAUAUUUAUAUACUGCACACAUACCUCAUAUCUAUAUAGUGUAGAUAUAGAUCGCAUCUUACGCUUUACAUAUAUACACAAUACAUUUCUACACAAACUGUAUAUAACGUAUCUACAUAGGUGCAGGGGUGGCUAUGUGGUAAGAAGCUUGCUUACCAACCACAUGGUCCUGGGUUCAGUCUCUCACUGUGUGGCACCUUGAGCAAGUGUUUUCUACUCUAGCCUCAGGUCAACUAAAGCCUUGUGAGUGGAUUUGACAGAUGGAAAACAAAAGAAAUCCAUCACAUAAAUACGUGUGUGUGUGUCUUUAUGUCUGUAUUUUGUUCCCCACCCCAUCUGACAACCAGUGGUGGUAUUUUAAUUCUUUUAUUCUUUUACUUGUUUCAGCUGCUUGACUGCGGCCAUGCUGGAGCACUGCCUUUAGUUGAACAAAUCCACCUCAGGACUUAUUCUUUAUAAGCCUGAUACUUAUUCUAUCAGUUUCUUUUGCUGAUCUGCUAAGUUACAGGGACGGAAAAACACUAACAUCAGUUGUCAAGCAAUGGUGGAGGGAACUAACACACACACACAAAUACAUACAUACAUACAUGCAUACAUACAUACAUAUCACCAUCAUUGUUUAAUGUCUGUUUUCCAUGCUGGCAUGAGUUGGAUGGUUCGACUGGGGUCUGGGAAGCCAGGAGGUUGCACCAAGCUCCAGUCUGACCUGGCAGUGUUUCUACAGCUGGAUGCCCUUCCUAACACCAACCAUUCUGAGAGUGUAGUAGGUGCUUUUUACAUGCCACCAGCACAGGGGCUAGAGGAGGCUGGCAUCGACCAUGAUCGGAUGGUGCUUUAUAUAUAUAUAUAUAUACAAUGGGCUCCUUUCAGUUUCUGCCUACCAAAUCCACUCACAAAGCUUUGGUCGACCCGAGGCUAUAGUAGAAGACACUUGCCCAAAGUGUCAUGCAGUGGGACUGAACCCGGAACCAUAUGGUUGGGAAGCAAGCUUCUUACCACACAUCCACUCCUGUGCCUAUGGGGUGUCUUUAAGUUCCCAUAAUAUAGUCGUUCAGCAAAGGAGACCAACAAAAUAAGUUUUACAAAAGUCUUACAAGUCUUACAACAAAAUAAGUCUCACAAAAAAAAAAUGUACUGGGAUUGAUUUAUUCAACUAAAAAAAAUCUUCAACGCAGUGCCCCAGCAUGGCCACAGUAUAAUGAAUGAGACAAGUAAAAGAUAAAAGAUAUACUAUACAAAUAAUCACAGUAUCCGACUCAUGGCCGAUGCCAGCGCCGUCUCGACUGGCUUCCGUGCCGGUGGCACGUAAAAUACACCAAUCCAACCAUGGUCGUUGCCAGCCUCACCUGGCACCUGUGCAGGUGGCACGUAAAAAGCACCCACUACACUCACGGAGUGGUUGGCGUUAGGAAGGGCAUCCAGCUGUAGAAACAUUGCCAGAUAAGACUGGAGCCUGGGGCAGCCUUCUGGCUUCCCAGAUCCCCGGUCGAACCAUCCAACCCAUGCUAGCAUGGAGAACGGACGUUAAACGAUGAUGAUGAUGAUGAUGAUACAUACAAUAAACAAUGUGUUUCAUUCCCUGAAGAAAAUAUCCCCCUAUCCUUGCUCCUUCACAUUUAGAAUGAGUUCUAACAAAGGGACAAAGGCAUGGAUUUAGAAAGAUAGGGCUAAUACAACUGACCCCUGUGCUUGCAGUGGUACUUAUUUUCUUAACCUUGAAAAGAUUGUACAGAGUAAAGUGGAUUCCCAUUGGAUUUGAACUCUGAACAUAAGGAAAAGAAACUAAAUACCACAAGGCAAACUUGCAAACUUGUGGUUUUGGGUUCAGUUCCAAUGUGCAAUGCCUCGGAGAAGCAUCUACUACAGCCCCAAGGGACCAAUACCUGGUGACUGAAUUCCGUAGACAAAAAAUUUGAAGAAGCCCAUCAUGUGUUUUUAUUCUUUUACUUGUUUCAAUCAUUUGACUGUGGUCAUGCUGGAGCACCGCCUCUAGUCAAGCAAAUCGACCCCAAGGCUUAUUCUUUGUAAGCCUAGUACUUAUUCUAUCGGUCACUCUUGCCAAGCCGCUAAGUGACGGGCAUUUAAACACACCAGCAUCGGUUGUCAAAAAAUGUGGGGAGACAAACACAGACGCACAAACACAUAGAUACACACACAGACACACACACUCACACAUACAACAGGCUUCUUUCAGUUUCCAUCUACCAAAUCCACUCAUAAGGCUUUGGUCGGCCCGAGGCUAUAGGAGAAGACACUUGCCCAAGGUGCCACGCAGUGGGACUGAACCCGGAACCAUGUGGUUGGUAAGCAAGCUACUUACUACAGAACCACUCCUGUGCCUAUAUGUGUGCAUGCAUAUAUGCAUAUGCAUGUAUGUAGGUAUGAAUGUUAGUGUUCUUCAUGUUGUGUGUGUUCCACUACCACUGCUUUACAAGUGACAUUGGUGUGUGUCCGUUCCCAUAGCUUAGUGGUUCAGCAAAAGACACUAAUAGAAUAAGUACCAGAUUUAUAAAUGAAAAAAAAACAAAAAACCAAAAAAAAAAAACAAGGCCCAGGUUCAAUUUGUACAACCUGUCAAGAUGAUGCUCCAGCAUGGCAGUAGUCCAAUGACUUCAACAAGUAAAAGACAGCAGACAAAAGAUGUUGAUGGGAAUUAUGACAUGGAAUUUAUAUUACAGAUGAUGCAUGGAUUGUGAGACGGAAAUAUAUUCUAUGCCCCUUGUGCCUAAAUUAGAGCUCAUUAACAAAACGACGGAUCUUGGGGGGGGGUGUUAUUUUCGUUAUUGAAUAAUAAUGUAGUGCAGUUCAAUAAGUACUGGGAUGAACUGCUUACAGAUUCUUAGUACUGCUGUGUAGUGUAUAUAAAUUUGUAUCAUGUGAGUACAUUUUACUGUACAGUGUAUAUAUAUAUAUAUAUAUAUAGACAUCAUCAUUCAAUGUCCGUUUUCCAUGCUAGUAUGGGUUGUAUGGUCUGACUGAAAAUUGGUAAGCUGGGGAGUUAUAUAUACAUGUAUGUAUAUAUAUGUAUGUGUAUAUAUAUAUAUAUAUAUGAUGAUGAUGAUGAUAUAUAUAUAUGUAUGUAUAUAUAUAUAUAUAUAUGAUGAUGAUGAUAUAUAUAUAUAUGUAUGUAUGUGUGUAUAUAUAUAUAUAUAUAUAUAUAUCAUGAUGAUGAUGAUAUAUAUAUAUAUGUAUGUAUGUAUAUAUAUAUAUAUAUAUAUCAUGAUGAUGAUGAUGAUGAUAUAUAUAUAUAUAUGUAUAUAUAUAUAUAUAUAUAUAUAUAUAUAUAUAUAUCAUGAUGAUGAUGAUGAUGAUAUAUAUAUAUAUAUGUAUAUAUAUAUAUAUAUCAUGAUGAUGAUGAUGAUAUAUAUAUAUAUAUAUAUAUAUAUAUAUAUAUAUAUAUGUAUAUAUAUAUAUAUAUAUAUAUAUGCUGCAUAUGUAUAGUAUAUAUAGAUCUGCUAUAUCUAGUUUGUAUAAAUAUGCUCAAUAGGCGUAAGGAUAUGAUCUGUGUGUGUAGAAACAUGAGCACAGUGUGAGAGUGUGUGUGUAUAUAUAUGUGUGUAUAUAUAUACACACACACACGCACACACACACACACACACAGAUAUGCAUGUGUGUAUGCGUGUUUCAUGAAUAAAAUAUGUGUAGAAUACAUACAUGUGUACAGUAUACACAUAUGGUGUAUAUGUACAGUAUACAGAUGUGCAGCAUAUGCACAGAAUAGCGAUGUGGUAUAUACGCAAAUAUAGAUGUGGUGCAUAUAUAUAUUACACUUUACUCUUGUAACACACACAGAUGCACACACACACACACACACACACUCACAAACAUGAUGGAUGUCCCAUCGAUUUUGAUUGCCACCCACUUCUGAUUUGUUAUAAUCCUUUUCACAGUUCAUGAAAUCCAAUUUUUAUUGCAUAUUGAGAAAUGCCGGUCAGCGUUACACUCACCUGAACAAUGUUAAGGUUUUUUUUUUACACUUUACCUGCAUGUUUACUCAUAUCACAUUUCAGAUGAGUUAGUAUGUAUGUGUGUGUGUCUGUGUAUACAUAUAUAUAUAUAUAUAUAUGUCUAGGCAUAAUUGCACAUACUCUCUCUCUCUUCCCAAGUGUCAAACUAAUACACCCACUUGUUGUUCCCUCACCUGUCUUCAUCUUUUAUUUUCUGUAAAUUUGAACUAUAUAUACAUAUAUAUAUAUUACGGAGAUGUACUUGCAUAGCAAGUGACCUGAUCUGAGAUCGUGUGCUGAAACAAAAACAAUUGCAGCAUGGAAGGUAUUUUUAAGCCAUUUAAAAACACACAAAAAACUGUUAGAUUCGCUUCAGCAUUUAAAUUUUAUUUGCCAAAAUAUUUUUGUUACUGUGAGACCGUGACCUGUUCACUGACACACACACACAAAUAUACAUACACACACACAAAUAUACAUACACACACACUAAAAAUUUAAUAAAAGAGAAUGGAGAAGAAAAAAUAUAUAACAGAUGUAUGGUUGAUUUUAUUUGCAUCACAAUGGAAAAGUAAUGCAAAUUCAAAGAUUAAAAGAUAUACCUAUAUAUAUAUAUAUAUAUAGGGAGAGUUUACGAAAAAAAUAACAAAAGACGAAGACAGGUGGUGUACAAAACAAACAGAUGUAUUAGUAUAAUGCUCAGGAAUAGAAAAAGUCUUUUACGUUUCGAGCCUACGACCUUCUACAGAAAGGGACACAGAAAACAAGGAGAGAAACAAGGAGAGAAAAAAAAUCUAUCUGUGUAGUAGCUAACGAUCUAUCAUGGCGUCCAUAAUAUAUAUAUAUAUAUAUAUAUAUAUAUAUACACAUAUAUAUAUAUGCAUAUAUAUAUAUAUAUAAGCAAUAAGAGAGGGACCACAUGUGGUCACUCUAAUGCUAGAAAUAGAUCCGCAAAGGGAAUCCACCACUAAUCCUUUGCUCGGCUUCGUAUUGAUUUUGGCGUCCGGUUCAGCAAAUUAUAUUUUUGAUAUACUCUACCGAGGAUUCGAAAAUGAUUUGUAAGUAAAAUUACACAAUCUAUUAACAAUGAAACAAUUGUAUAGAGUUAAUCCAUUUUUUCGUUAUUUUUCAUUUGUCCUGCCCGCUUACAUUUCUUGACGUGUUGAAUGAAUUAAUGCUUGAGAACAAUUCUUUAGUGGUGGAUUCCCUUUGCGGAUCUAUUUCUAGCGUUAGAGUGACCACAUGUGGUCCCUCUCUUAUUGCUUGUAUUAAUAAUUUUUACUGUAUCACAGUUUUUUUUUACGCUAGACCACUUGGUGUUUUAAAUUGAUGUUAUUAAUUAAUAUUCAAUUUUUUCACCCUUAUUGUGAUUUUAAAUAUAUAUAUAUACUAGCAGUAUCGCCCGGCAUUGCUCGGGUUUGUAAGGGAAAUAACUAUAUAAGCAUCUUUAGUGAGUUAUAGCAAAAAAAUAACAAAAAGAUGCAUUAAAAAUGGAAUAAAAAAUGAUGGUAAUUUUUUUUAAAUCGUUGACUCAUCGUAGACAUUUUUAGAGAGUUACGUCCCUUAUAUAAUAGCGAAAAAACGCAUUAAAAGGGAAAAAAUGAUGGUAAAUUUUUUUUUUAAAUUGUAGACUCAUCGUAGACGCGCGCUAAUACCCAGAAGGGCUCGAUAUGAAUCACGACUAUAAGAUACCCGGUUUUGGUUAAAUGCACCGCAAAAUGUGGGAGUAGUUAGGAAUCUAAAUCGUAGGAGACAGACACACAACUUCACUUUUAUAUAUAAAGAUAUAUAUAUAUAUAUAUAUAUAUAGUUAAUCCAAACUUGAACAAAGAGAAAACAUAACAAUGUGAGGACAUGGAACAAGUACAGUGUUAUUGGAUGCUCAGGAAAGGAAAGGACAAAGGAGGAUUUAACGUUUCGAGCGGAGCUCUUCAUCAGAAACAUUGAAAAAGGGAAGGUCCAAGGAAGGGAAGACAGAGAAAGAAAAUUGCCAACGAUACACCUGUGUCUGUACAGGUAUGGUCGUAUAUCUGUGUAUGUAUGCAUAGGUGGUAUGUAAACCUAUUUGUGUGCGAGUGUGUGUGUGUGUGCAUUAUUUUAAUUAACAUCAACUUUUCCAUGCUUGCAUGAGACAAACAAAAUUUGCUGAGGCAGGUUUUCAACACCCACAUGUCCUCUCUGUCACCAACCCUUAUCUGUUUUCAACCAAGGUAAUAUUUCCCCACAGCCAGAUACACCUUUCAUGGAUGAUUGGAAAUCACUUCUAUCACAGUGUUGCUCAUUUACACUCAGCAAAAGGUGAUAAGACAAGACUACACACAAACACACACACACAGAUAUAUAUAGAAGGCUUCUUUCAAUUUCUUAUUUCUUUACUGCCCACAAGGGGCUACACACAGAGGGGACAAACAAGGACAGACAAACGGAUUAAGUCGAUUAUAUUGACCCCAGUGCGUAACUGGUACUUAUUUAAUCGACCCUGAAAGGAUGAAAGGCAAAGUCGACCUCGGCGGAAUUUGAACUCAGAACGUAGCGGCAAACGAAAUACCGUUAAGCAUUUCGCCCGGCGUGCUAACAUUUCUGCCAGCUCGCUGCCUUUCAAUUUCUGUUUACCAAAUCCACUCAGAAGACUCUGGUUUUCUAUAAUAGAAGACACUUGUCCAAGGACCCCCACAGUAUGGGACUGAACACAAGAUCUUACUGUUAAAGCUUCUUAACCACACAGACAAGCCUAUAUAUAUACCAGGCUCAAUCUACCAGCUGAUGACUGGAAACUAGUAACUCUCUGAGUACUAGAAAUCAGAGCCUUUCAGUUAUAAUGUAUUAAUACAUACAUUCAUAUAUAUAUAUAUGUCUUGCAAGUUAUUUGGUGACACUGCCAGUGUUGGUGCCAUCUAUAAAAGCAUCCAGUCCAUACUGUGAAGUGGUUGGCAUUUAGAAGGGCAUCCAGCUGUAAAAACCAUGCUGAAACUGACCCCACCAGUGCUAGUGCCUCAUAAAAAGCACCCAGUCCACUCUGUGGGGUAGUUGGUGUUAGAAAGGGCACCCAGCCAUAAAAUCAAUGCCAAAAGAGACAGAAGUCUGAUUGUUGUUGUUGUUAUUGUUGUUGUUAAGCAACAAGACGAGUAAGGGUGAUUAGGUAAUGGUCUAGGGUUUAGGGGCGGGAGACCCCCAGACCUUGGAAAAAGAAACUUUGGCCGUCUUGUUGUAGUCGAGGGCUCUUCGUUGAUGCCUGACACCACUGGGAGGUGGCCCUCGAAGUCGCUGGAAUGGAGAUCUCCAUGUCCAAAUUCUUGGACAGCACAGAGGUUUGAUGCAGGCUCCUGCCUAGCCGGUUCCUGUCAAACUGUCCAACCCAUGCCCGCAUGGACAUUAAAUGAUAAUGGUGAUGAUGAUGAUGUGUAUAUGCGUGUUAAAUAAGAUAACAAGGCCAAGGUAAUUUGAUAUUCCUGGGACAUUUAUAAACAGAAAGGUGGUCUUACAGUGGCUUCAGGGAAAUAAGUGCUAUCCCAUCGGCAGAGACGAGUUAAAAGAGCUUCAAUAGAAAGAAUUAGUAAAGUUCUUUGUUUUUUUUUUUUUGAAGAAGUUACUCUGGAGAAGGAGAGAUAUACAAGAAAUUUGAUAUAAAGCAGAAAGUAUAAAAAGAGUAUAUGAAAAUAAGAAUACAUGUUGGAUGUUAAAGUUGCUGAUGAUGGGAUAUCACUUAUUUCCCUGAAACAGCUGUAAGGCCAACUCUCUAUUUAUAAAUGUCAUAGGAAUAUCAAACUGCCUUGGCCUUGUUAUAUUAUCUUAUUUAACAUAUACACACUCAUAUACAACCUGCCUUAGAUUCCUCACUCAUGCUACUAUUGAACCAGGAGCUUAACACCUUACUUGCUUUUUGGGUCUUCUGGAUACCAAAACAUCUCAUAUAAUAUAUAUAUAUAUAUAUAUAUAUAUAUAUAAAAUCAUCAUCAUCAUCGUUUAACAUCCGCUUUCCAUGCUAGCAUGGGUUGGACGAUUUGACUGAGGACUGGCGAAUCAGACGGCUGCACCAGGCUCCAAUCUGAUCUGGCAGAGUUACUACAGCUGGAUGUCCUUCUUAACGUCAACCACUCCAAGAGUAUAGAGGGUGCUUUUACGUGCCACUGGCACGAGGGCCGGUCAGGCAGUACUGGCUGUACAUUCAAAUGGUGUUUUUUACGUGCCGCCUACACAGGAGCCAGUCAAGCGGCACUGGCAAUGAUCUCACUCGAAUGUUUUUUCCCGUGCCAGUAAGGCGAUGCUGGUAACGAUCUAAUAUACAUCAUCAUCAUCAUCAUCAUCAUCAUCGUUUAACGUCCGUUUUCCAUGCUAGCAUGGGUUAUAUAUAUAUAUAUAUAUAUAUAUAUAUAUAUAUAUAUAUAUAUACACAUGUGUAUGUGUGAGUGCUGAUGACCUUGUAAUAUUUGGUGACAUAAUCAAUAUCCAAUCAGCUGCCAAACUCUUCAGUGUGUCGCAUUGCAUGUUGGCAAGAAUGUUAACAUGACUGCAACAAGGGACUGAAUCCAUUUGCAUCUCUAAAAGUUGACUUUCUGAAAGGUUUCUUUGCCGUACGCAAUGGCAAGAUUCUGAAAGACAUCAAUCAAUUCGAGUACACCACACACACACACACAGAUAUUUGUAUGCAUAAACAGGCAUGCCUAUGUAUACAUCUAUCAUCUAUCUAUUCAUAUCCGUUCCAUUCAAAUGUCUGUGUAUAUAUGCAGAGAUGUGUGUUUAGGUGAAAUGAAAUCAUUGUUAUCAUCAUCUUAACGUCCUCAUUUCCUUGCCUGCAUGGGUCAGACAAAAUUUAUUGAGGGAGACUUUCUGCAGCUGCACAUCCUUCCUUUCGCCAACCUUCACCUGUUUCCAAGUGACCAGACAUGUUUUCACAGAAGACUGGAAACAAAGGUCACUGCUUCCAUGAUUUUUUUUUUUUUUUUACUUGUUUCAGUCAGUUGACUGCGGCCAUACUGGAGCACCGCCUUUAGUCGAGCAUAUCAACCCCGGGACUUAUUUUUUGUAAGCCCGGUACUUAUUCUAUCAGUCUCCUUUGCCAAACCGCUAAGUGACGGGGAUGUAAACACACCAGCAUCGGUUGUCAAGCAAUGCUAAGAGGACAAACACAGACACACAAACACAUACAUAUAUACAUAUAUACGACAGGCUUCUUUCAGUUUCCUUCAGUCAAAUACACUAACAAGUGGGACUGAACCUGGAACCAUGUGAUUGGGAAGGAAACCUCUUGCCACACCUACACCUACAAAUAAAUGUGUGUGUGUUUGUAUUUAUGCAAACAUAGAUAAAUAUAUAGAUAUGAAUCUAUGAAAACUGAUGUAUGCGUGCUUGUGUCUCUGUCCAUGCUUGCUUGUUCCUCCCUUGUAUUCAAUACUUUUUAUAGUAAACACGGCUAUGUAUAAAAGAAUAAUAGCUGAAGAAUUGCGUUUCUCCAUCUGCCCCCCCCCCCCAUUCUGUAACCAUGGUAACAAUUGCAUUAGUUUGAUAAUGCUGAUCUAAUAAAAUUAUAGUCAUAAAACCUUUGGAAAAAAAAAAUAAAUAAAGUGUCUUAAUUUGUUACAGUUAUGCCUUUCUUUUACUGCCUUUGUUUAUAUCAAACAAUAUCAUUGAAGUUCCAGUAGAAAUAAACAGAAUCUACCGUGCAGCUUCUAGUUUAAAAUAUACCGCACAAGAUAGUCAACGAUUUGAAUAACAUGAUAGGAAAUAUCUCGUAAGAUAUCUUACUGUUCCCAACAAAGUGAUAAAAAGAUUUAAUAUCUCACUGUUUACAGUGACAAGACAUACAUUUAUAUAUAUAUAUAUAUAUAUAUAUAUAUAUAUAUAUAUAUACACAUUUAUACAUAGAUAUAUGUACAUAUAUAUAUAUAUACACACAUCUAUACACUUUAUAUAUAUAUGUAUACACACACAUAUAUACACAUUUAUACAUACAUAUUUGUACAUAUAUAUACACACACUUUAUAUAUAGAAGUGUAUAGAUGUGUGUAUAUAUAUGCACAUAUAUAGAAUAUGUGGGUUUAGUUCACUGGGGAUCUAAGCAAAUAAGUACACUGGGUGAGUGUUGUAACGGAUUACUCUUUUACUUGUUUCAGUCAUUUGACUGUGGCCAUGCUGGAGCACCGCCUUUAGUCGAGCAAAUCUACCCCGGGACUUAUUCUUUGUAAACCCAGUACUUAUUCUAUCGGUCUCUUUUGCCGAACCGCUAAGUGACGGGGAUGUAAACACACCAGCAUCGGUUGUCAAGCAAUGCUAGGGGGACAAACACAGACACACAAACACACACACACACACAUAUAUAUAUACAUAUGUACGACAGGCUUCUUUCAGUUUCCAUCUACCAAAUCCACUCACAAGGCAUUGGUCGGCCCGGGGCUAUAGCAGAAGACACUUGCCCAAGAUGCCACGCAGUGGGACUGAACCCAGAACCAUGUGGUUGGUAAGCAAGCUACUUACCACACAGCUACUCCUGCGCCUAUAUUAGGGUUUCAAGCUCAUAACUGAGAUGGGAGCUAUGGAUCCAUUUUAGGUUGCUGAUUUAACUUAGCAGAUAUAUAUUUGUGAAAGAGGACAACAAAUACCAAGACCAAACAAGCAUCUCUAGUCAUAUACAUUAUUUUAUAUUAUUCUUAAAUUAGUUGAGAUCUUACAGCUGUUUCUGGUAUAUCCCAAGUGAUAGGCAAGCAUGCCUGAAUAUGGGGUAUUCCGUCAUCAGAGACAAGUAGAAAACAUGAAAGACCUACACAUGGAAAUAUUUAGAUAAAAGAUCCAGACAUGGAAAACUUGCAGAUAAUAAGCAAUAAAAUAGACAGGUAGAGAAUAAGGAAAUAAGAAAGUAAAGUUCAUUUUUCAGGGGGUAUGGAUGUUAGUCUGUAUAUCAUUAGGUAAAAGCUGAGGUAAAUCCAGGUAGUAUUAUGGCAAAGUAUCCAGGCAAUAUUUUGGCAGAAAUAGGAAUGGUGUGUUCAUAUUGAGAUGGCUGGUUUGUGUGAGAAUAAAAGUGGCUACUGAGCAUAGUGUAGGGAGAAAGAGAAAUAAAGGGAAAGAGAUGUUAAUGAAGAGAGAGAGAAAUAGGGGUAGUCUGUGGGGAUAGAAAGAGAGAAGGAAGGUAAGUGACAGGGUAUUGGCAAGGGUUGGUCAGGAUUGGUUAAAGAAAGAAACAUAAAAAUAUAGAGUAAAAACUAAAAAUAUAAUAAAAUAAAAAAAACUAUAAAAAGUAGAAAUAAAAUAAAAAUAAGAAUAAAUUGUAAAAAUUAGGGUACAGAUAAAAGAGAGGAGGAAGAUAAUGGAGGGGAAAAAAUUUUAAAGUAAACAGGAUCAAGGAGAAUAGGAAAAGAAAUAAAGAGAAUAAUAGAUAAGAUGCCAGUGCUAGUUUAGGGUUGGGGCAAGAGGUCAAGCAGUAAAUAUUUGUGUCUGUUGAAUAGAUGAAGUCCCAGUUGAUUAUGAAACCAGUUGAAUAUUUAAUUGUUUAGGAAUAAAAGUUACAAUUCAAGAUUUGGAGGUUUAACCCUUUUGUUACUAUAUUUCUGACCAAAAUACACCCCUCAUGAGUUUCAGUUAAAUUCUAAAAUAAUCAUGAAUCUAGGCUUGUUUCAUUAAAUAACUGUAACUUUUUUACUUAUUAACAUAUUAAUGUGAUAUUUGGAACAUAAUUAAAGAAAGGGUUCUUAAUCAAUUCUAUUGCAUAACUUUUGUCUCAAAGUGACUUUAAUUACAGGUAAAUCCAGGUAAAUUGAGCAAAAGGUAAAAAUAUUAAAAUUUUAAAUUGAGCAAAAGGUAAAAAUAUUAAAAUUUUAAAUUGAGCAAAAGGUAAAAAUAUUAAAAUUUUGUUUAAACAUCACCAUAGAAAAUGAAUCAUCAGCUAAUAUUCAAAUGGGUAUGCAACACAAUUUUGAUAAAGAAGAAAUGUGCACAUCACUAUAUCAUCAGUUGAAUUUAAUGCACAACAGGUGUACCAUAAAGGUGGAAUAAAGUGAAAUAGUGGAAUCCACCGUAAGUUUGACCAAACUAAAGAAAUCGGUCAAAAAAUAAUAUAUGGCCCUGGUUAUGGUAUGGAAGUGAUAAAUUCCAGACCACAUCGUUCCCUAGGCCAUGCUGACUAACAUUAUUUUCCCUGUAUAAAAACUAAAUCCACGCAGUACCCAGUAUUUGCUUCACAAAUUUUCCGAAAUUUGAACCCCCAUUUUGUGUUUGUUUACUUUCUGCAUAAGUUUGUUUCCGCAUUGAUCGCUUCAAACAAUAACUUCCAGACCACAUCAUACCCUAAGCCAUGCUGACUAACAUUAGUUUCCCUGUAUAAAAACUAAAUCCACAACAGUACCCAGUAUUUGUUUCACAAAUUUUCCAAUUCGGAAUCAAUGCUUGAUAACAUGAAACUCCUAUCCAUUUUCAAAGUUGAAGAAAAAUCGAUGCCGAAAAAAAUGUGGAAAAAAAUCUCCCAAAAUUCAGGGAAUUAAAAUUACACGUCGAUGUUUGUACAAAACUGUAGAUUAACUGUUUACGAAGCAUAAUCACGUGUUUUCAUGAAUGUACUAAAGAGAUUUGCUCUGAUAUUCUCAUUUAAAUAUGAAUAGGCGGGUUUGGGCGGUUUGGUCACAUUAACCAAAAUUUUUUUCGGGCGGCUUUGGGUGGUUUGGUAACGAAAGGGUUAAGAAUUUAAGGUUUAAAAUUUAGAUUAAAUUAAAACCUGCAGGUUAAAGUAAAAAAUUAGCAGUUGUAGCACAUAAAAACACCAUCCGAGCGUGGCCGUCUGCCAGCCUCGUCUGGCACCUAUGUCGGUGGCACAUAAAAAACACCAUCCGAGCGUGGCCGUUUGCCAGCCUCGUCUGGCACCUGUGUCGGUGGCACAUAAAAUCACCCACUACACUCUCGGAGUGGUUGGCGUUAGGAAGGGCAUCCAGCUGUAGAAACACUGCCAGAUCUGACUGGACUGGUGCAGCUUUCGGGCUCCCCAGACCCCAGUUGAACCGUCCAACCCAUGCUAGCAUGGAAAGCGGACGUUAAAUGAUGAUGAUGAUGAUGAUGAUCUUCUAAGGUACUAAUGUUGAUGGAGAAGAUAAUGAAGGGAUAGACAUAGGUAUAUAAUAACAACCAUAGAAAUACGCAAGUAAGUGUUAUGCGUGAGAGAUAAGUUUACAUUUGGACUUAUGGAAAAAUUUAAAUGUGCAGAAAAAUUCGUGUUUACAAGUUGUGAGUGCUCUGUUUUGUUUAUUGAGUAAUUGUGGGGGGUUAUGAGUUAAUAACUGGAGGGCCUCCUUUACGUAGAGUCCACAUGUGGAGCGCUGGCCCUGGUAUGGGAUUCCAGAAUCUAUUAUAGCCCAGGAUGUCCUAUAUUGUAUUUUCCAAUUAACUAGAUGGUGUAUGUGACUGGCUAGAGAUGUGGAGUUGCUAUGCUCUUUAUAUCUAAAUGAGUUUAAAUGGGCAGAAUACCUUUGCUUGAAAUUAACAGUAGAUCUGAUAUGGUAGCUAGAGGAAUAAUUUAAUAAGUGGUGGAUAGUGUAUUUGUAUACCACCUUGAACCGCUUACAACUGGCAAUUGGUCCUGGACCUGCAGUUGCAACUAUCCGUUCUAAGUUGGUUAGUUGGAGAGAGGGAUGAAAUUGUACUAUUUGCAGACAGGUUGAAGGCUAGGGUUGUAUUAGGUGAUAGGCUCAUAUUAUUGUUGUUGUUAUCAUUAUUACCAUUAUUAUUAUUAUUAUUAUUAUUAUUAUUAUUAUAAUUAUUACUGUUAGUAGCAGUAUUAGUAUUAGCAGCGGUAGUAAUAUUAGUAGCAAUAGUAUUAUUAUUAAUAGUUGUUGUUGUUUAGUAUUAGAAAUAGUAUUAUUUUCAGUAGUAGCUUUUCAUUAGUAGUAGUAUUAGUUUUAUUGUUAGUAUUAUUAGUAGUUGUAGAGGUAUUAGUGGUUAUAAUGGUUAUAAUAGAGUUAGUAUUGUUAGUACUAGUAAUUCUAUUAGUAUUAAUAUUGGCUUCAGCCAUACACAUAGCUCUCUCGGAAGCAGGGAUUACAGUAUGUAAGUUUAAGCAUAUAUAUAUAUAUAUAUAUAUAUAUAUAUCUAUACAAUAUGUUACAUUACUCGGUAGUCAAGAUAAAACUCUGAGUUUCAGAUGCAGUGGAAAUCCACAACACCAUCUCUUCGGUUAUCUGCUAUUUGAAACGUUAUGAAAAAUACCGUUAAAAAUGAAGGAAAUUACUCUGUUAUAACUUAUACUCGCAUUUUUCGUCAUAAAAAUUAUAUAAAAAUACAUAAAAAUAUAGUUGGGACAUAACACAGAAAGCAUGUUCUAUCCGUUUUCUUUAGGGGACCAAAAACGUAACAGAAAUUUAGUCACAUGUGGGCAUGAUCCGAAAGCUCUGUCCUUGUAUUUAGACAUGUGGUAGGGUCUAAGCUGCUUUUCCAGAUAAGCCAUCUCUCCAUGUCGCAUAAACCGCACCUUCCGCUGCCGUUAGUAUAGGGCUUACAUCUGGCCAAAAUCUUCCAUUGUAUGUUAUAAUCGACACCUUUAUCUCUUAAAGACCAAAUAUGAUUGGAUAAUUGUGUCGCUUUUCUUUUGUUCCAGUGCCUAAAGCUCAAAGUGUGGUUAUUGAACCUGGCCUUGAAAUUACCCUCUGUCAGGCCCACGUAUUUCUUCGUCGAAACGGUGUCUUUAGUGGUUAUAGAGUUUACGGUAGCUUCAUAUAUGAUGGUCUUGGACAUGCAAGCUCCAUUUAGCGGGCACAAUUCUUUAUUCCUGCAUGAACAGCUGUUUUCUUCUUGUGUUUUUUGUAUGUUAUGAUUGAUUAUGUUUUUAAAAUUGGUAGUUGAACUAAAACUAAUUUUUAAAUUGUGUCUAUUGAAGAGUUUCCUAUAAGCAUGGUUAACUGGAAAAUGUCUAUCUAUCAGUGCUAGGAAAUAUUUACCUAUAUUGAAGGCCACCUCGGGUGAGUAAGGGGCGUAAACCAGAUGACCUUCCUAUUUCUAUUAUUCCUUUUCCUUAUUGUUGGGCUGGUGAUAGGUGUAUAUUUUAUUUUUUCGCUAAAACCACUAUCUUUUAAAGCUUUAUUAUAAACUGGGGCAACGCUAUUGAAGAUGUCCUCAUUUACGCCCCCUUACUCACCCGAGGUGGCCUUCAAUAUAGGUAAAUAUUUCCUAGCACUGAUAGAUAGACAUUUUCCAGUUAACCAUGCUUAUAGGAAACUCUUCAAUAGACACAAUUUAAAAAUUAGUUUUAGUUCAACUACCAAUUUUAAAAACAUAAUCAAUCAUAACAUACAAAAAACACAAGAAGAAAACAGCUGUUCAUGCAGGAAUAAAGAAUUGUGCCCGCUAAAUGGAGCUUGCAUGUCCAAGACCAUCAUAUAUGAAGCUACCGUAAACUCUAUAACCACUAAAGACACCGUUUCGACGAAGAAAUACGUGGGCCUGACAGAGGGUAAUUUCAAGGCCAGGUUCAAUAACCACACUUUGAGCUUUAGGCACUGGAACAAAAGAAAAGCGACACAAUUAUCCAAUCAUAUUUGGUCUUUAAGAGAUAAAGGUGUCGAUUAUAACAUACAAUGGAAGAUUUUGGCCAGAUGUAAGCCCUAUACUAACGGCAGCGGAAGGUGCGGUUUAUGCGACAUGGAGAGAUGGCUUAUCUGGAAAAGCAGCUUAGACCCUACCACAUGUCUAAAUACAAGGACAGAGCUUUUCGGAUCAUGCCCACAUGUGACUAAAUUUCUGUUACGUUUUUGGUCCCCUAAAGAAAACGGAUAGAACAUGCUUUCUGUGUUAUGUCCCAAGAAGAUUUUAUAUAUUUUUAUAUAUUUUUAUGUAUUUUUAUAUAAUUUUUAUGACGAAAAAUGCGAGCGAUGUAUAAGUACGCAGGCAAAGCAGAGUUAUAACAGAGUAAUUUCCCUUCAUUUUUAACGGUAUUUUUUCAUAACGUUUUCAAAUAGCCAGAUAACCGAAGAGAUGGUGUUGUGGAUUUCCACUUCGGCAUCUGAAACUCAGAGUUUUAUCUUGACUACCGAGUAAUGUAACAUAUUGUAUAGAUAAAUUUCCUCUAUUUACAUAAUAUUGAGGUCUCUUUCUUUCUUUUGUUAUCUUACCGUUUUAUCAAUAUAUAUAUAUAUAUAUAUAUAUAUAUAUAUAUAUAUAUAUUAAGAACAAUCUUACUUAGAAAUGGAUGUGUAGAGAUGGCUAAUCUGUUGUUCCCUCGCCGUUCUCAAAAAAUAGUGUUCGUAAAAAAUUUUAUCUUGUUCGGCUUAACAGCCCUUCUUGUUUGUGUUACUGUUAUUCUCUGUGUCCUGUCUUUUACUGUUUAUAUUUUGUACUGUCGUUACUGUCCUGUUUUUGUUACCUUUUUACCCCUCCGUAAAAAAAUCUCAAAUUUUAUUUAAUUUGAUUUUCGUGGGAAGGAAUGUUUCAUUAAAGUCAUGUAUCGCCUUGACCUUCGAAACGUGGAGUAGAUGAAACAAAGGCGACUGAAGAAGGGGAAUUUUCCUUGUUUUGUAUGUCCUGUACUCUAUUUUUUUGUUGUUUAAGAAAAAUGUCCAUUUCCUUGGUUUUGUGUUUAUGUUUUUGUUUCUCAUUGUGUUCGACGUUUUUUUGGUGUCCUGUACCCAUAUAUGCAUGUAUAUAUACAUGUAGAGGUAGGUACAUACAUAUAUGUAUGUAUAUAUGCAUAUGUUUUAUUUAUUUAUUAAUAUAUUAUAUAUAUAUAUAUAUAUAUAUAUAUAUAUAUAUCUGUAAAUAUAAAACCAUCCGAAUUUCUGAGUACCUCGUUUCUUCUAAUAUAAAAUACCUGUACAUCAUCUCUAAACCUUCUAAUAUAUAUAUAUAUAUAUAUAUAUACUACAAAAUUAGAGAAUGGAGAAACAUACUUAAAUCAAUAAAACAUCAACUAUCCGAUGAUACUCAAUCCAUACUUUAAUACACCAUUACAUAGGAGUAAAGGCAAUAUAUAAAAUGAAAUGAGAUAUACAGUAAUAGUAAAAGUAAAAAGAUAAAGAGAUAUAAGUAAAAAAUUACAAAUACAAUAUGCAAAUAAAUCAAAACUGACAGCUGUUUCGGCAGUGAGGACAGUCAUACCUCAUUUAACCUAUAAGCCAUAAAGGCAGGUAUAAAUGAGGCAUUAACAAAGAUGCCCCACGGCCUCUUCAGAGAAUUAAAUUAAAUUUGUUAUAAUAGUGAAAAAUAUUAUAUAAUCAUAUACAUAUAAAUAUAAAAAUAUAAAAAAGUAAAAUAUAAAAACUUAUACAUCAUAAUGCUACACUUGUAUAAUAUAAUACACAUUUGUACAAAAAGGAAGGUAACCAGAACAAAAUAAAACAAAAUAUAUAACAGUGUAUAUAUAAUAUUAAUAAGUACCGAUAUCAUACAUAUUUAGCUAAUAGUUUUUUUUAUAAAAAAAAGGGCUAACACAUAUGGAGAUGAAAAAUAAUAAUAAUUAAAUCCGUGGUACAGUUCAUAAAAUUCUAAAGCUAUAAAAGUUAAUAAAAAUUACUAUUAAUAAUAAUAAUAAUAAUAAUAAUAAUAAUAGUAAUAAUAAUAAAAAAUAAUAAAAAUAGAUACAGUUAAGUUAUCACCAAGUCCAUCCUUCCAAGAUCGUCUAAUUUUGUAGUAUUAAUUUACGGUAAUAUUAUUACCCUUACCCAUUUAAUACAAUAGAUGAACUGAUUGCUUGACAAUUUCUAACAUCUAUGUAUUAAUUUUGUUGGGUACCUAUCUAGCAGUAUAUUGGAUAUAUAUUAUCCCAUGGUGGGUUGAAUUUUCAACCCCUAUCUCAUUUAUAUAUAUAUAUAUAUAUAUAUAUAUAUAUAUUCAGCUGUCAGUUUUCUUUAUAAAGCAAGUAUGAGGCAGAUUUAGGAAUUAUUUUCCUGAGCCUCUUGCAGUUGUUGUUUGGCUCUGGGUCAGUUCUAAUCAAACUAAUCUUUGAUAAUCCCAGUUCUUUUUUGUUUUUUUUCAAUCAUAUGUUAUCGAAGACAAUAUUAUCUAAUGAAUACUUAGCAUUUGUUUUUUUUUUGUUUUCAGUUGUGACUUGAGGGAGAUUUUGUAGCUUUUUCUGACACGUCAUAUGACUGCACAGAGACACCCAGAGAUUAUUCUAAGAUGGAUCUCGAGAUACCAGUCUUCUUUCUAAUUUCCUCAAACCCAAAGUAUUCACACUAUUAAAGAAUUUAGAAAAUCCAGUAUUUAUUAUGCCAUACUUCCUUCCACUCCAACUGAUAGAACACAUUCUUCUUUCAUUUAUCACUUGCAAACAAUCUAUUUCUUUUUUUAUUUUUAUUUUUUUAACAUUCUUCAAAAUUCCAUCUCUCUUCCUCUCUCUCUCUCCAUCUUUAAUUUUCUCCAAUCAGCAAUUCUCUGUCACUCAUGAAUACUUGCCAACAUUCUCAACGAGAAUGACAGAAUCCCUGAAGAGAUGCAGCCAUUAAUUAGAUUGGCACCUAUAUUUCAUGUGGAUAUAAUUAUGUAAUCUUAUGUGAAACUGGCAUCAUUGUCAAACUGAUGCAUUGGCAGCAAUGUCUCUCCAGAGGAAAAAAAAAAAAAAAUUGACAACGCCGUUCUGCAAUAAUUAGAUUGUUUUCUACAAGUAAUUGUGGCACAAACUCAAUUUCCACCUCCAUCAUAUAUUUAAGAUUUCAUAUUUCAUGCACAGUUAUUGCUAUUAGUUUUUUGUUGUUGCUGUUGUCGUUGUUUCUGUCCAGCAUGAUACUUACGAGUGGUGUGUAUCCGUACAAGUAUUGAUGGUUUAAUUUAUAUAAUAUUUAUUUGUCAGGUGAUAGAUAGAGUGGUAGAAUCAUUAGAGCAUUGCCAAAAAUAACUCAUGGUAUUAGUUCCAGCACCCUGGUAUUUGUCACCCUCAUCUAUAGUCUUUCAUGCACCCUGUCCACCCAACUCACCCAUCCAUAGUCAGUUUUGUGGCACGGCUAGCUGGCAGAAUCGUUAGCACGCCAGGUGAAAUGCUUAGCGGUA
rnacentral:lncRNA from 1 species